CUUAGUUUGACUCCGUUUGGCAUCUUGAUAAACAGUCUACUUUUGUAUAUUAAAUGGUAAUUGCAGACGAUGGGGCUUGAAUGUAAGAAAGAAAGAAAGACAAUAUGGUAACACAUCAGUGGUGGAAGGGAUUGACUGGACAUGAUUUCGUUUCGUGACUUGCUCUGUUUUCAUAGUCAGGCUUCAGACCUGGGUCUCUUUAAGGCGUCUUUUUUUUUGUCCAUCUUUAUUCCUCACCGAAUUGCUGAUCUCCUUCUUUAUCCACAUGCCUCCAGACACCUUAGUUAUUCCUCAGAUCUUUCAAAUCCUGCCCACCACUGCCCUUUUAUAAGCCCUCCUGCUGAGUUCAUCAUUUUACACCUUAUCAUCCCUUCAACUCGCCAACUCUUUGUUUUCUGCUCUUUCAAAGACCGAGAGCCAUCUAUUCUUUCACAGUACCCUAGGCAUUAUGUCUUCCCUUCAAUCUAUCUCUUUCUCACUCAUUCUCUUUCCCCUCUACUUUCACUCGCUGUGCAUUUGCCCAGGGCAUUGUUUUCUGUUCUGAUCUAUACCUUUCCACGGCAGUAUGUCUUAUUAAUACAGCCUCCUGCCCUGGGUACAGCCCUAGCCCAGCCUCUCUCCAGGGAGGCAGGCGGAGUGCCGGGAAGGGGGAAGAGAGGGGGGCAGAGAUACGAGGCGACACACUCGAGUGAGAUGGAGAAAAAGAGACAGAAGGAAAAUUGCUAUAAAUUGAGUUUGUACAAUUUAUAGCAAUUUAAAUUGACAUGGACUUCCCUUUAUAGAAGCAUAUUCAUGCAACAGUCUUAUCUGUGAAACUGCCACUUUUACAGGUUCAUUUUUGUUUGUGUUGUGACAGUGUAAGUCAUAGUUUGGGGCAUCAUUUGGGUUAAUUAUAACACUCCAAAAACUCUCUGAGAUCUUAAAACGAAGCAAGUAACAUGAGCAGUCAGACAAUAAUAAAGGUUGUAAACAAGGCAAGCCUAUAUUAUGCAUAUAUUCUCUCAUUUAAAAUACAACCACAGUGUAGAAUAGCAGAUCUAUGUGUGCACAGUUAUGUUACCAUCAGCUAUGGAAACAAGCAGGUUUAAUGGUCUCCCCAGCUUUGUUUGUUUAUGUGAUUUCAGUAUGAUUGAAGAUUAGGUGUGGGCGAUAUCGAGAAAAUCAGAUAUCGCGAUAUUCUUGUCUAAUACCUCGAUGUCGAUAUUGUGACGAUAUUAUAGUGUUGACAAUUGGUGCUUUAACAAAAUAUCUUCACAAUGAGAUUUAAGAUAAAUAAUCUUCAGUAAUAUAUAAUAUAUAAUG